rnacentral:sRNA from 1 species
AAUCUAUAUCAAUCCACACAUUUAUGUACGUGAACCUAUAACCCGUUGGCCUUCCAUUUUUGCCGAAUUUCGGUUCGGCAGUUAUGGAAUUGACACAGAGUUAUUGGUAACUCGAUAAUUCUGAGUCAGCCGUCAGAGUAAAUAUGCACUUGUGUGUGUUUGCUUUGGCUUCGGCCUUUUUACUAACCAACCAACACCAAAAAUAAUUAUUAAAUUAAAUAUAUGUGUACGGCUUAGAGCCGAUGACAUUAAAAACCAAGACAACUCUCAACAACGGAUAUCUUGGCUCUCAGAUCGAUGAAGAACGCAGCGAAAUGCGAUACGUAGUGUGAAUUGCAGAAAUACGUGAAUCAUCGAAUCUUUGAACGCAAAUUGCGCUCGAGGCUUCGGCCAAGAGCAUGUCUGCCUCAGCGUCGGGUUAAAACUCACGUGUUAAUUCAUUUAAUACGUGGAACUGACUUUCCCUUGUGAUUAUUUAUUUAUUCACAUGGGUGGGUUGAAGUUUGCAGCUGCUGCAUCAUGGACCCGUUACUGGGCCUCUACUGGGUAGGCGGUUUAUAAUUGCUAAAUGCUUUAGUAGAUGGCUUAGGGUUUGUAUGUGUGCUGGCACAAACCAGGAAAAUUAAUUUUCUUUUUUCGACCUGAGCUCAGGCAAGA